rnacentral:tRNA from 1 species
GCAGAAGUACCCAAGUGGCUAUAAGGGGCUCCCCUGCUAAGGGAGUAGACGGAGAAAUCCGUGCGAGGGUUCGAAUCCCUCCUUCUGCGCCA